rnacentral:rRNA from 1 species
UACGAGGGGAGCAAGCGUUGUUCGGAUUUACUGGGCGUAAAGGGCGCGUAGGCGGCCACGACAAGUCACUUGUGAAAUCUCCGGGCUUAACUCGGAACGGUCAAGUGAUACUGUCGGGCUAGAGUACAGAAGGGGGCAACUGGGAAUUCUCGGUGUAGCGGUGAAAUGCGUAGAUAUCGGAAGGAACGCCGGUGGCGAAAGCGACGUGCUGGACCUUUCUGACGCUGAGGCGCGAAAGCCAGGGGAGCAAAGC